rnacentral:rRNA from 1 species
UAAGACAGAGGUGGCAAGCGUUGUUCGGAAUUACUGGGCUUAAAGGGCGCGUAGGCGGCAUGGCAAGUCCGCAGUGGAAUCCCGGGGCUCAACUCCGGAAUUGCUGUGGAAACUGCCGUGCUUGAGUCAGUGAGGGGAGGGCGGAAUUCCCGGUGUAGCAGUGAAAUGCGUAGAUAUCGGGAGGAAGGCCGGUGGCGAAGGCGGCCCUCUGGCGCUUGACUGACGCUGAGGCGCGAAAGCGUGGGGAGCAAACAGGAUUAGAUACCCUGGUAGUCCACGCGGUAAACGGUGGGUAUUAGGUGUUGGGCCCGCAAGGGUUCAGUGCCGAAGGGAAACCAUUAAAUACCCCGCCUGGGGAGUACGGCCGCAAGGUUGAAACUUAAAUGAAUUGACGG